CAACCACUCCAUUGCCGAGUGGUUCCGCUGCUGCCCAUCGGCCGGACUCUCCCGCUGGCCGGUGUGACCCUGACUCUGUGCCGGGUCUGAGGAUGCCCUCCGUCGUCACCCCUUAUAACGUGUUACCCGCGUUCGGACUACGUCGCUGCGGCGCACUCCCUACUUCCGGAAGCCCAACAUUUGGAGAAAGUCGUCCCUUCUUCGAGAACUCACUGCCAUGGACGUCUUCUUCGCGGCCGAUUGAUGCACGGUCGUCGGCGCCAUUAUGCAUCCCGCGCUCGCAACAGGCCUUAAUAACCCGCAUUUCUCGAGCAUCCGCCGAACAGCGCAGCCAACACUUUCGGGCCCCGAAUUGAGGCCCAGACGUCAGCUAUGCCCGUCCGAUCUCAAGCCAUCCCCUCUAGCCUUAAGGACCACAUCGCCACUUUACGCGUCUAUAGUCCUCCUUGUGGCCACCGCUUCCGCCUAGAGACCCGGCUAUGACUGCGACUCCUCGCUUUCGCACCCCUCGCUUGUCCUAAUCUAUGGGACCAUCAGGUGCGGCAUUUGCCACCCGUGAUCCACACCCGCCGUAAGGUGCAGCAGGCACGGCAUCGAUUGCGUAAUUCACGGGGCG
rnacentral:rRNA from 1 species